UGUGUGUCACUUCCGUCCUUUCUUUUUACUGGAGCUCGUAGUAAAACUUCAUUAAUAUGUUCUCUGCAGCUGAUUUCGCGAUGGUUUCCCCAUGGAAAGAAGGCAGAGCAGUAGAUGUAGGAUGAAAGAAGCAAGCCACUUGGUGUCCUUGAAAUUGGCAGAUGGCAAGGUCAUAUCAGCACACAGUCCAUGGUAACUGAAGGUACGAUGCACAUUGUGUAUCUACCUGUCGCGUGUGUGCACUGAUGUCUUUGACUUAUCAUCCAUACUGUUGAUCACGUGGUAUCGGAAGCAGCGGAUGACUGCCAUGAGUCCAGACUGACUUCAGCAGAUGACAAGGUCAAAUCGGCACUGACGCCAUUGUAACUGAAGUGCAUGGAUGCUAUGAGUGUAGACUGACUUGAGUAAUCUGGGACCCUGAUCACCUGACCGUUGUGCCCUCCUCCAGAUGCGACUGUGUUUCAGCUUUGGUGUCGUGCUUAUACACUCUAAUGGGGGGGGGGGGGGGGGGGUUGAUAGGCAUCAAAGUUGCUUUGCAGUGUUGUACAGGAAGAAUAGUCUUAUACUGGUUUACUGGUGAAAAGAAAUUUUGGCUUUCACAGAGCAAUUAAAAAAAAACACUGGCUAGUUUUUGUAUGCCUGUCAACCAUAUCACAAUUUUCAAUGUUUACAUUUUAGAUCCCUCCAGCAAAAGAUUUAUAAAGUAUGGUGAUUUGGUGCCAUGGUAACCUGCAUACAUGUCAGCUAUUGGAUUAUUGUGAACCUUUUUUAAUGCUUUGAUCACUUUGGUAAUUUGUGAUUGAGUUGUUUUGGGAAGGAUGUCAUUGUAAAAGUUAACAGAUUUUUAUUAAACACUAUUUGCUUAA